rnacentral:tRNA from 1 species
GGGCCCUUAGCUCAGCUGGUUAGAGCGCUUGCAUGGCAUGCAAGAGGUCAAGAGUUCGAAUCUCUUAGGGUCCACCA